rnacentral:rRNA from 1 species
GACGAACGCUGGCGGCGUGCUUAACACAUGCAAGUCGAACGGAAAGGCCUCUUUCGGGGGGUACUCGAGUGGCGAACGGGUGAGUAACACGUGAGUAACCUGCCCUUGACUUUGGGAUAACUUCAGGAAACUGGGGCUAAUACCGGAUAGGAGCUCCUGCUGCAUGGUGGGGGUUGGAAAGUUUCGGCGGUUGGGGAUGGACUCGCGGCUUAUCAGCUUGUUGGUGGGGUAGUGGCUUACCAAGGCUUUGACGGGUAGCCGGCCUGAGAGGGUGACCGGCCACAUUGGGACUGAGAUACGGCCCAGACGCCUACGGGAGGCAGCAGUGGGGAAUAUUGUACAAUGGGUGGAAGCCUGAUGCAGCAACGCCGUGUGCGGGAUGACGGCCUUCGGGUUGUAAACCGCUUUCGCUCAUGACGAAGCUUUGUGUGACGGUAGUGGGUAAAGAAGCACCGGCUAACUACGUG